rnacentral:rRNA from 1 species
UGGGGAAUAUUGCACAAUGGGCGCAAGCCUGAUGCAGCCAUGCCGCGUGUAUGAAGAAGGCCUUCGGGUUGUAAAGUACUUUCAGCGGGGAGGAAGGUGUUGUGGUUAAUAACCUCAGCAAUUGACGUUACCCGCAGAAGAAGCACCGGCUAACUCCGUGCCCGCAGCCGCGGUAAUACGGAGGGUGCAAGCGUUAAUCGGAAUUACUGGGCGUAAAGCGCACGCAGGCGGUCUGUCAAGUCGGAUGUGAAAUCCCCGGGCUCAACCUGGGAACUGCAUCCGAAACUGGCAGGCUUGAGUCUUGUAGAGGGGGGUAGAAUUCCAGGUGUAGCGGUGAAAUGCGUAGAGAUCUGGAGGAAUACCGGUGGCGAAGGCGGCCCCCUGGACAAAGACUGACGCUCAGGUGCGAAAGCGUGGGGAGCAAACA